rnacentral:rRNA from 1 species
AGACGGAGGGCGCGAGGGUUGUUCGGAAUUACUGGGCGUAAAGCGCGCGCAGGCGGACGUGGCAAGUCGGUGGUGAAAUCCUGGGGCUCAACCCUGGGGCUGCUGCCGAUACUGCUCGUCUAGGGACCGGUAGGGGCCGGUGGAAUUCCCGGUGUAGCGGUGGAAUGCGUAGAGAUCGGGAAGAACACCUGUGGCGAAGGCGGCCGGCUGGGCCGGAUCCGACGCUGAGGCGCGAAAGCGUGGGGAGCAAACAGGAUUAGAGACCCUGGUAGUCCACGCCGUAAACGAUGGGUGCUAGAUGCCGGUUGGAGCGACCCCUUCGGUGUCGUAGCUAACGCGUUAAGCACCCCGCCUGGGGAGUACGGCCGCAAGGCUGAA